CCGGUUGAUCCUGCCGGACCCUACUGCUAUCGGGAUGGGACUAAGACAUGCUAGUCGUGCGCUUCUAAGCCAUGGUGGAGGCGCGGCACACAGCUCAGUAACACGUGGUUAACCUGCCCUUGGGACGGAAACACCCCCGGGAAACUGGGGCUAAUUUCCGAUAGGUGAAGACUCCUGGAAUGGAUCUUCGCCUAAAGGGCGCUUAGGCCAUGCUUCCAGGCGCUGCCCAAGGAUGGGACCGCGGCCGAUCAGGUUGUUGGUGAGGUAAUGGCUCACCAAGCCUUUAACCGGUUCGGGCCGUGGGAGCGGGAGCCCGGAGAUGGGCACUGAGACAAGGGCCCAGGUCCUACGGGGCGCAGCAGUCGCGAAAACUCCGCAAUACGCGAAGGCGUGACGGGGCUAUCCCGAGUGCCGUCCGCUGAGGAUGGCUUUUCCCCAGUGUAGAUAGCUGGGGGAAUAAGGAGAGGGCAAGUCUGGUGUCAGCCGCCGCGGUGAUACCAGCUCUCCGAGUGGUGGGGACGUUUAUUGGGCCUGAAGCAUCCGUAGCCAGCUGAGCAAGUCCCCAGUUAAAUCCAGCGAUUUAAUCGUUGGACUGCUGGGGAUACUGUCCGGCUUGGGGGUGGGAGAGGCCGAC
rnacentral:rRNA from 1 species